GCUGCUGCUGCUGCUGCUGUUGCUGUUGCUGCUGCUGAUGUUGUUGCUGCUGCUGCUGCAGCUGGUGCUGCAGAUGUUGCUGCUGUUGUUGCAGCA
rnacentral:sRNA from 1 species